UGAUACAGCACUGGCACUGACUGUCUGUUU
rnacentral:piRNA from 1 species